GACGGAGGAUGCAAGCGUUAUCCGGAAUUAUUGGGCGUAAAGCGUCCGCAGGUGGCUGUUCAAGUCUGCUGUCAAAGCGCAGAGCUUAACUCUGUACAGGCGGUGGAAACUGAAGAGCUAGAGUAUGGUAGGGGUAGAGGGAAUUCCCGGUGUAGCGGUGAAAUGCGUAGAGAUCGGGAAGAACACCAGUGGCGAAAGCGCUCUACUGGGCCACAACUGACACUGAUGGACGAAAGCUAGGGGAGCGAAUGGG
rnacentral:rRNA from 1 species